rnacentral:rRNA from 1 species
UACAGAGGUCUCAAGCGUUGUCCGGAUUUACUGGGCGUAAAGAGCGCGCAGGCGGUCGUCCAAGUCGCGUGUGAAAGCCCCCGGCUCAACUGGGGAGGGUCACGCGAUACUGGUCGACUCGAAGGCAGGAGAGGGUAGUGGAAUUCCCGGCGUAGUGGUGAAAUGCGUAGAUAUCGGGAGGAACACCAGUGGCGAAGGCGACUACCUGGCCUGUUCUUGACGCUGAGGCGCGAAAGCUAGGGGAGCAAACGGG